rnacentral:rRNA from 1 species
GGAAUAUUGGUCAAUGGACGGAAGUCUGAACCAGCCAUGCCGCGUGCAGGAAGACGGCCUUCUGGGUUGUAAACUGCUUUUAACAGGGAAGAAUAAGCUUCUUGCGAGAGGUGAUGCCGGUACCUGAAGAAUAAGCACCGGCUAACUCCGUUCCAGCAGCCGCGGUAAUACGGAGGGUGCGAGCGUUGUCCGGAUUUAUUGGGUUUAAAGGGUGCGUAGGCGGCUUUUUAAGUCAGUGGUGAAAUGUAUCAGCUUAACUGAUGACGUGCCAUUGAAACUGGAGGGCUUGAGUACAGACGAGGUAGGCGGAAUUUAUGGUGUAGCGGUGAAAUGCAUAGAUACCAUAAAGAACACCGAUAGCGAAGGCAGCUUACUAGGCUGAGACUGACGCUGAUGCACGAAAGCGUGGGGAGCGAAC